AAUACCACAUAUCCCGAGUCGUAUUUUCGUCGCCGGUUUAGGAUGAGCACCGAGUUGUUCAGGCGAAUUGCAGAGAAACUAGCGAGCCAUGACCGCUUUUUUCAGCAAAGGAGGAAUGCCGCCGGAGAGCUCGGGCAUAGCACCUUUCAGAAGGUGACAGCCGCUUUGCGUAUGUUGGCAUACGGUAUAUCGGCUGAUCUAGUUGAUGAUCACUUGGCUAUGGGUGAGAGCUAA
rnacentral:rRNA from 1 species